UGGCGAGAGGAGCUCAGCUUUGGGAACUCACCGCAUGGAGACAGCGGAGUGGGCAUCGUUUCUCGCCAAACUCACCGACAUUUACAGCUCGAACUUUCUUGGGUUGCUCAAACGGAACCUUUGUUUGAGCACCUUCCUUCCUUCCCAACUUCAAAGGCAAUGCCGCGCACGGGAUCCAGCACUGGCCCCCAACUGCAAUUUCACCUUUCAGAAAUCUCCCUCCAAUGCAUGAAAUUAAAGAAGACCCAGGUGUUGAAUUUGCAAACAACUUCAAAUCUCCAAGCGAAUCACAUGGAUUUCGAAGAAAGAUCACAGUUUUCUUGGGAGUACAGCGGAGGUAAAAGAAGCAUCAGUAAAAGAAGAAACUUCCGGGGGAGAGAGAAAGAAAGACGCUUAUAAUGAAAUUCGAUCAAGAUUAAACAGUGUCGAUGGAUCCAUUACCCAUAUGUGCUCAGCAUUGUACUAAUAAUGCAAGAGAGAGAGAGAGAGAGAGAGAGAGAGUCGAGAAGAGCAGAAAAGAACAUGCACAUCUCACUUUCGCUCAGAGGAAAUCGGUGAACUAAUUGAAGGCGAAGGGAUCAGUAAUAAAUGGGUCUUUCCUAGCGAGAGCCAGAAGAAAACAACCUGACACGUGUCGCCUUUUCAAGGCACUUAUACGUGGCGGAAAAAGUGGUGCCAUCCCAUGUAUGUACUAGUGUAGCUCACGUUAUUUUAUUUUUUUUUUUUUUUUUU